GGUUGCGGACAUAUCAUAACGAAGAGGUAUCGUAAUUGAAGAGGUUUGGAAAGACCCACCACAGAAGGUAAUAGUCCUGUAUGUUAAACGAGAAGACUUUAGAUAUGAUCCAGAGUACCACGGGACACGUGAAACCCUGUGGGAAGCAGGAGGGACCACCCUCCAAGGCUAAAUACUACCUAGUGACCGAUAGCGUAUAGUACCGUGAGGGAAAGGUGAAAAGAACCCCGGGAGGGGAGUGAAAUAGAACCUGAAACCCUGCACUUACAAGCUGUGGAAGCACAUUUCUUGUGUGACCGCGUACUUUUUGUAGAACGGGCCAACGAGUUACGUUAAGUAGCAAGGUUAAGCACUUAAGGUGCGGAGCCGUAGCGAAAGCGAGUUUUAACUGAGCGUUCAGUUACUUGACGUAGACCCGAAACCGGGCGACCUACCCAUGAGCAGGAUGAAGCGAAAGUAAAAUUUCGUGGAGGUCCGAACCCACGAGCGUUGAAAAGCUCGGGGAUGACUUGUGGGUAGCGGUGAAAUUCCAAUCGAGCCCGGAGAUAGCUGGUUCUCCCCGAAAUAGCUUUAGGGCUAGCCUCAAGGUGAGAGAUACGGAGGUAGAGCACUGAAUGUCCUAGGGGGUAUUGCACCUACCGAAGACUAUCAAACUCCGAAUGCCGUCAUCUUAUACUUGGGAGUCAGACUGUGGGUGAUAAGAUUCAUAGUCGAAAGGGCAACAGCCCAGAUCGUCAGCUAAGGUCCCUAAAUGUAAGUUAAGUGGUAAAGGAUGUGGGAUUGCACAGACAACCAGGAUGUUGGCUUAGAAGCAGCCACUCAUUCAAAGAGUGCGUAAUAGCUCACUGGUCGAGUGAUCCUGCGCCGAAGAUUUCCGGGGCUAAAACUUACUACCGAAGCUACGGCAUCAGUAAUGAUGGGUAGGGGAGCUUCCCAUACGGGUUGAAGCAUGACCGUAAGGACAUGUGGACAGUAUGGGAGUGAGAAUGUUGGCAUGAGUAGCGAGAUGUGGGUGAGAAUCCCACAGGCCGUAAACCCAAGG
rnacentral:rRNA from 1 species